AUGGCGCGGAAGAAGAUCCGGGAGUACGAUUCCAAGCGCCUCCUCAAGGAGCACCUCAAGCGCCUGGCCGGCAUCGACCUGCACAUCCUCUCCGCCCAGGUCACACAAUCGACGGACUUUGCGGAGCUUGUGAACCAGCAUCCAUGGCUGUCGACCACCAAACUGGUUGUGAAGCCUGACAUGCUGUUCGGGAAGCGUGGGAAGAGUGGCCUUGUGGCACUCAACCUGGAUGUAGCCCAAGUCAAGGAGUUUGUGAAGGAGCGGUUGGGAGUCGAGGUCGAGAUGGGUGGCUGCAAAGCUCCAAUUACCACCUUCAUAGUUGAGCCGUUUGUCCCCCACGAUCAAGAGUACUACCUUUCAGUUGUGUCCGAAAGGUUGGGUAGCACCAUUAGCUUCUCGGAAUGUGGAGGCAUUGAAAUCGAGGAGAACUGGGACAAGGUUAAGACAGUCUUUCUUCCGACUGAGAAGCCAAUGACACCUGAUGCUUGUGCUCCCUUGAUUGCAACCCUUCCACUGGAGGCACGCGGAAAGAUUGGUGAUUUCAUUAAAGGAGUGUUUGCUGUCUUCCAAGACUUAGAUUUCUCAUUUAUUGAGAUGAACCCAUUCACCAUGGUGAAUGGGGAGCCAUAUCCGCUGGACAUGAGAGGAGAAUUGGAUGACACUGCAUCUUUCAAGAACUUCAAGAAGUGGGGAAAUUUAGAAUUCCCUCUACCAUUUGGCAGAGUUCUCAGUUCUACAGAAAGUUUUAUCCAUGAGCUGGACGAUAAGACCAGCGCGUCUUUGAAGUUCACAGUUUUGAACCCAAAGGGACGCAUAUGGACAAUGGUUGCUGGAGGUGGUGCCAGUGUCAUAUACGCUGACACGUUUUCUUUGGUUUGCCAGGUUGGAGAUUUGGGAUAUGCUUCAGAGUUAGGAAAUUAUGCAGAAUACAGUGGUGCUCCCAACCAGGAGGAGGUUCUGCAGUAUGCUAGAGUAGUACUUGAUUGUGCGACUGCGGACCCUGAUGGCCGCAAGAGAGCCCUUCUCAUUGGAGGUGGUAUAGCCAACUUCACUGAUGUCGCUGCCACUUUUAGUGGCAUCAUUCAGGCAUUAAGAGAGAAGGAAUCCAAGUUAAAGGCAUCCAGGAUGCACCUCUAUGUUCGACGAGGCGGUCCAAAUUACCAAACUGGACUGGCGAAAAUGCGCAAGCUUGGUGCAGAAAUCGGUGUUCCGAUUGAGGUGUAUGGACCGGAAGAGACAAUGACUGGCAUCUGCAAGCAAGCAAUUGAAUGCAUUAUGGCGGCAUCAUAA
rnacentral:rRNA from 1 species